GAUGAACGCUGGCGGCGUGCUUAACACAUGCAAGUCGGACGGGAAGUCGUGUUUCUUGUGGCGGACGGGUGAGUAACGCGUGAGAACAUGCCCUGGGGAGGGGAACCACAGCUGGAAACGGCCGCUAAUACCCCGGAGGCCGAGGAGCAAAAGGAGGGAUCCGCCCGAGGGGGGGCUCGCGCAUGACUAGCUUGUUGGUGAGGCUAUAGCUGACCAAGGCGAUGGUCAGUAGCUGGUCGGAGAGGAACAUCAGCCACACUAGUACGGAGACGCGGAGCAGGCUCCGGGGGGAAGCAGCAGUGAGGAUUUUUCAGCAAUGGGCGGAGGGCUGACGCAGCAAUGCGGCGGGGAGGUAGAAGUCCUAGGGGUCAAGAACUUUUUAUCCCAGAGAAGAAGCAAUGACGGUAUCUGGUGAAUAAGCAUCGGCUAACUACGUG
rnacentral:rRNA from 1 species